rnacentral:lncRNA from 1 species
CCAAGACCAAAUCUUAUAUUUUUUUUUUCAAGACUUAGAUGUCACGGAUACCUAUUUAGUAGAAUAUUGUAUAACAUCCGGCUUACCCGAACCGAACAUAAAUGAAAAAGCCCCUCUUAUGCAUACAUAAACAUGGUAUAAGGUUAAAUGAUUUAUAGCAAGUGGAUCAGUACCGAACGGAUGUAUGAAAUUAAAGUCUAUAUAUCUAGUAGAUCCGUAUAGGCGAUCAGAUAAAGGGGAUGAUUUUAGAUCGAAGCAAUUUGAUGAAUUCCUUCUAAAAGUUCAUAUCAAAAUAGUACUAGUUGAU